AGGUCUUACAAGGAUUGUGGUUCAGAUUCUCAACCGUAUAUAAAAACAAUAACAAGCAACUGUUAAGGAUUGUAAUGGAUCAGAGUCCACAAGGAUAGACUAUUGAGAGCAUCAGAUUAAUUGGUUUGUGAGGCAAAGAUCAGGUAAUGCACAUUGGCUUGUGGCAAACUCCUUGCAUGGAUCAAAGAAAAUUAUAGACUUGUUCCAUAAGGAAAGCUAUAUCAUGAUGUUCUUUGUAGCCUCACCUCUUCCUUCAGUACUUAGAAGAAAAAAACUUAAGGCUUUUCCUUCAGGCCAAAUCAUUGGAGUAAUCAGCAAAGAGGAUAGGCCUUAUUGCCUUUUAAGGCCUAAUAAAGCCAAAGAAGACCUGAAAACCCUGCUCCCCGUCAGCAAUGGUUUUAAUCUUCCCCUGUCUCUCUCCCUCUCCUCUCUCUCCUAGUCUCUCCACACUUGUGUUACCGGAGGAAUACCGAGCAGCUUCUUGCCGAACUGGGGAACUCAACCUCCCAUCUCUCAAGCCUAACCGUUUCCUUCAUGGUUUUCAAGAAACUCAAAAACCAAGAAAUCAGAGAUUUUUUAGUAACAGAUGCCUCCAAAGACAUAGAAGAAUUCGAAGACGCUAUCGAGGCUAUCGAAUGCUGAUGAGUCUGCUUCAUCUCCUAGAACACCAUCAUUGGCAUCUGCUGUAGACUCAGAGGCUAGUGAACAAGAAGAUAUCUUGUUGUCUUUAGAAGAAGCUUCCAGUAAAUAUCCGUCUUUGAUCAGGAAAUCUGUUUUUACAGGUAGAAUCAAUGAUGUUGAGCCGGAGUCAACUACUGCUGCCAGAGGUUGAGAAUUAGGCUUUCCGAAUCUUCCAUGGUUUCUUCUUCCCUUGCUCCUGGUUCCAUUGUAUCAGUAAUUAUUUUAAUGAAGGUUUAAAAUUUGUUGCUGAAGUUGUCUUUGUGAUAAAAUUGUAGGUUUCGUUUGCUGCUGUGGAAAGGAUAUUUUCAAGUAGAAGUUUUCCUCUCAGCUCGUUAUCCCAUGAAUGGACCACACAGUGCGAGGUGGAAGCUGUGGAUGAAAUAGCUAAUGAAGCAGGGAAUUACUUUGCUCUUGAGAUGGUUUUUCCUUCUUAUGAGGUUUGAAAGCAAACACGCAAAAGCUUGGCAUUGGCGUAUUUGUGUUCUUGAACAUUAUGUGAAUGAUGCAAUUUCAUAGGAUAAUCAGAUUAUAUUUCUGCAAGGAUCGAUUAUUGUUCUAAAUAUCUGUCCUGGAUGACCUAUGAUAUGAAACCUAUUUCAUUUUGGUUUUAAGCCUCUAGGAGGUUCGAAUUGUGAGCAUUUAAUCCUUCAACAGGAAAGGCAUUGUUGAAAAAUGAUUUCUGUAAAGCAGGAUAAUUUUUCUUGAAAGUGAGUACUUACAGUUACAGGGUGAUUAUACAUAGAGCUUAGCCUACAUCAAAUCAUGAUUGAAUUUGUAAAUUCAUAAUAAGUGUUAAAGCUCUAAUGAUUUUUUUAUUCAAGCCAACAGUUUUACAGAGAGAAAAGUAUAGUUUUUACCCUCUCCCUCGUGAAGUCAUUAGUUGUUCUGUCAUUUGAUGUCCUGCUCUUUUACGCUUUCUUUUCUCCAGGUUUCAGCCUGGCAAGGAAAAGUUAUAAAUUAGAUCUUUUAAAAUUUUGAUUUAAACUGUUUUUAUAACAUGAUAUUAGAAUCGUGUUAAUCAUAUAGUUAUGAGUUCAAAAUUUUUAUUAACUUUAUUGGAAAGGAUAUGAAAAAAAUAAUAAUACAAAUCAUAUCUUAGAUCUUACCUAACAUGUUAAAUCUAAGAAUUGAUUUGGUUCUUGGACAAAAGUAAAUCAGUAUGAUGGAGAAAGUUUUUGAUUUGGCCUGUCAAUCUGCACCUGCCGUCGUUAGAUAUCUUCUCUCUUCGAAUUUUUUCUUCAUUCUUCUCUAAUUUUUCAGGGUCUCGCCCUGUUUCAAACCAAACAAGCUGCUGAAUACACUUGUUCUAAAAAGAAACAAAUUUAUAAUAAUUUGCAGCACUUAGAUGACUUAUUGACGACAAUGCACAGGAACCAAGAUCAUAAAAACAAAAAUGAAGGUGGCUAAAUGAUGGUUAUGCUUUCAAAGGUCUUCAUUGAUGAGUUGGAUGCCAUUGCACCUGCACGGAAAGACAAAGUAUCGACCCUGCACUGAGGCGGCCUGGAAAACUUGGCAGAGAAACAGAAAUAGGUAACACAAACACGUUGCCUGGAAAACUAAAGUUAUGGGACACAUUGGUCUGUCUGAAGCAUUAUGCUAGGUCCAAAAAAUCUGACUAUAGCUCUCAUUCCAAGGGAUCAUCCAUUGCAUAUGAAGGUUGUUCUGACAGUGUGGUAAAAGAAUGCGAUUGCUCAACAGGGGUAGGAGACAUGUUGAGGUAUAGUGCAGAUUCUGCAUUUUCAAGCACCUCAUAUUUGCCUGUUGCCGUGGAGAACCCGCCAUCUUCUUGCUGCAAUGGAACAGUCUCAGAAAUCGAAGAUAAGAUAGAGAAUGGAAUUAUUGCUUGUCCUGAAGAGGAACCUAUGGUGGAAGAAGAAUCCAUGUUGAUCAUUGUUCCUGAAGAUUUUGAAUUGGCCAUGAUGAAAGUUGUAACUUAUCAUUUGAUGAGAAGAUGUAAUCAAGAAACAUGAAAAUUACUGGAAAACUCAACGUCCAUCAGGUUGAUAUUUCUUCUCCGAAAA